GAUGAACGCUGGCGGCGUGCCUAAUACAUGCAAGUCGAGCGAACGGACGAGAAGCUUGCUUCUCUGAUGUUAGCGGCGGACGGGUGAGUAACACGUGGAUAACCUACCUAUAAGACUGGGAUAACUUCGGGAAACCGUAGCUAAUACCGGAUAAUAUUUUGAACCGCAUGGUUCAAAAGUGAAAGACGGUCUUGCUGUCACUUAUAGAUGGAUCCGCGCUGCAUUAGCUAGUUGGUAAGGUAACGGCUUACCAAGGCAACGAUGCAUAGCCGACCUGAGAGGGUGAUCGGCCACACUGGAACUGAGACACGGUCCAGACUCCUACGGGAGGCAGCAGUAGGGAAUCUUCCGCAAUGGGCGAAAGCCUGACGGAGCAACGCCGCGUGAGUGAUGAAGGUCUUCGGAUCGUAAAACUCUGUUAUUAGGGAAGAACAUAUGUGUAAGUAACUGUGCACAUCUUGACGGUACCUAAUCAGGAAGCCACGGCUAACUACGUG
rnacentral:rRNA from 1 species